GAGAGCCUGAACCAGCCAAGUAGCGUGCAGGAUGACGGCCCUAUGGGUUGUAAACUGCUUUUAUAAGGGAAUAAAGUGGGAGUCGUGACUCCUUUUGUAUGUACCUUAUGAAUAAGGACCGGCUAAUUCCGUGCCAGCAGCCGCGGUAAUACGGAAGGUCCGGGCGUUAUCCGGAUUUAUUGGGUUUAAAGGGAGCGUAGGCCGGAGAUUAAGCGUGUUGUGAAAUGUAGACGCUCAACGUCUGCACUGCAGCGCGAACUGGUUUCCUUGAGUACGCACAAAGUGGGCGGAAUUCGUGGUGUAGCGGUGAAAUGCUUAGAUAUCACGAAGAACUCCGAUUGCGAAGGCAGCUCACUGGAGCGCAACUGACGCUGAAGCUCGAAAGUGCGGGUAUCGAACAGGAUUAGAUACCCUGGUAGUCCGCACGGUAAACGAUGGAUGCCCGCUGUUGGUCUGAAUAGGUCAGCGGCCAAGCGAAAGCAUUAAGCAUCCCACCUGGGGAGUACGCCGGCAACGGUGCAACUCAAAUGAAUUGACGGA
rnacentral:rRNA from 1 species